CCUUAUGGAUAAGCAAAGAAAGUGAUUUCUUGAAAUGGAAUCUACUCCUGAUGAAGAUGCUGUGAA
rnacentral:pre_miRNA from 1 species